GAUGAAGAACGUAGCGAAAUGCGAUAAGUAAUGUGAAUUGCAGAAUCCAGUGAAUCAUCGAAUCUUUGAACGCACAUUGCGCCCGCCAGCAUUCUGGCGGGCAUGCCUGUUCGAGCGUCAUUUCAACCCUCGACCUCCCUUUGGGGAAGUCGGCGUUGGGGACCGGCAGCACACCGCCGGCCCUGAAAUGGAGUGGCGGCCCGUCCGCGGCGACCUCUGCGUAGUAAUCCAACUCGCACCGGAACCCCGACGCGGCCACGCCGUAAAACACCCAACUUCUGAACGUUGACCUCGAAUCAGGUAGGACUACCCGCUGAACUUAAGCAUAUCAAUAAGCGGAA
rnacentral:misc_RNA from 1 species